CCUUUACUAUAGCUUGACACUGAACACUGGUCCUUGAUGUGUAGGAUAGGUGGGAGGCUUUGAAGCGUGGACGCCAGUCUGCGUGGAGCCAACCUUGAAAUACCACCCUUUAAUGGCUGGUGUUCUAACGUAGACCCGUAAUCCGGGUUGCGGACAGUGUCUGGUGGGUAGUUUGACUGGGGCGGUCUCCUCCCAAAGAGUAACGGAGGAGCACGAAGGUUGGCUAAUCCUGGUCGGACAUCAGGAGGUUAGUGCAAUGGCAUAAGCCAGCUUGACUGCGAGCGUGACGGCGCGAGCAGGUGCGAAAGCAGGUCAUAGUGAUCCGGUGGUUCUGAAUGGAAGGGCCAUCGCUCAACGGAUAAAAGGUACUCCGGGGAUAACAGGCUGAUACCGCCCAAGAGUUCAUAUCGACGGCGGUGUUUGGCACCUCGAUGUCGGCUCAUCACAUCCUGGGGCUGAAGUAGGUCCCAAGGGUAUGGCUGUUCGCCAUUUAAAGUGGUACGCGAGCUGGGUUUAGAACGUCGUGAGACAGUUCGGUCCCUAUCUGCCGUGGGCGCUGGAGAAUUGAGGGGGGCUGCUCCUAGUACGAGAGGACCGGAGUGGACGCAUCACUGGUGUUCGGGUUGUCAUGCCAAUGGCACUGCCCGGUAGCUAAAUGCGGAAGAGAUAAGUGCUGAAAGCAUCUAAGCACGAAACUUGCCCCGAGAUGAGUUCUCCCUGAGAC
rnacentral:rRNA from 1 species